rnacentral:sRNA from 1 species
GCCAGGCAUGGUGGUGCACGCCUGUAAUCCCAGCAACUCGGGAGGCUGAGGCAGGAGGAUUGCAAAUUCAAGGCCAGCAUGAGUAAGUUAGUGAGGAUCUAAGCAACUCAGCAAGACCUUGUCUCAA